UCUUCGCUAGUAUAUCGGUUAGUAUAACCGCCUCUCAUUAGAGAGUUUCUUAAUAGGAUCAUCGCGGUAGAGCAGGGUUCAACUCCCUGGCGGAGAA